UACGUAGGGGGCAAGCGUUGUCCGGAUUUAUUGGGCGUAAAGAGCGUGUAGGCGGCCAGGUAGGUCAGCUGUGAAAACUCGAGGCUCAACCUCGAGACGUCGGUUGAAACCAUCUGGCUAGAGUCCGGAAGAGGAGAGUGGAAUUCCUGGUGUAGCGGUGAAAUGCGCAGAUAUCAGGAAGAACACCCGUGGCGAAGGCGGCUCUCUGGGACGGUACUGACGCUGAGGAGCGAAAGCAUGGGUAGCGAACAGG
rnacentral:rRNA from 1 species